rnacentral:rRNA from 1 species
GUGCUCCCCCGCCAAUUCCUUUAAGUUUCAGCCUUGCGGCCGUACUCCCCAGGUGGUAGGCUUAACGGCUUCCCUGCGGCACUGAAUUGGCCCGGAGCCAAUCCAUCGCCGAGCCUACAUCGUUUACAGCUGGGACUACCCGGGUAUCUAAUCCGGUUUGCUCCCCCAGCUUUCAUCCCUCACCGUCGAGCGCGUUCUAGCGAGACGCCUUCGCCACUGGUGGUCCUCCAUGGAUCAGUGGAUUUUACCCCUACACAUGGAAUACCUCUCGCCUCUCCCGCCUCCUAGUGUAUUAGUAUCCUCCGCAGCCCACUUGUUGAGCAAGUGGAUUUAACGGAGGACUUUAUACACCGGCUACGGAUGCUUUAGACCCAAUAAUCGUCCCGACCACUCGGGGUGCUGGUAUUACCGCGGCGGCUGACACCAGGCUUGCCCACCCCUUAUUCACCAGUCUAUUUACAACUGGCAAAAGGCUCCUUUAGCAGGAACCACUCGGAUUAACCCCGUCAGGCUUUCGCCCAUUGCGGAGGUUUCGCGCCUGCUGCACCCCAUUUACA